rnacentral:rRNA from 1 species
UAGGGAAUCUUCGGCAAUGGACGGAANUCNNGACCGAGCAACCCCGCGUGAGUGAAGAAGGUUUUCGGAUCGUAAGGCUCUGUUGUAAGAGAAGAACGAGUGUGAGAGUGGAAAGUUCACACUGUGACGGUAUCUUACCAGAAAGGGACGGCUAACUACGUGCCAGCAGCCGCGGUAAUACGUAGGUCCCGAGCGUUGUCCGGAUUUAUUGGGCGUAAAGCGAGCGCAGGCGGUUAGAUAAGUCUGAAGUUAAAGGCUGUGGCUUAACCAUAGUACGCUUUGGAAACUGUUUAACUUGAGUGCAAGAGGGGAGAGUGGAAUUCCAUGUGUAGCGGUGAAAUGCGUAGAUAUAUAGAGGAACACCGGUGGCGAAAGCGGCUCUCUGGCUUGUAACUGACGCUGAGGCUCGAAAGCGUGGGGAGCAAACAGGAUUAGAUACCCUGGUAGUCCACGCCGUAAACGAUGAGUGCUAGGUGUUAGACCCUUUCCGNNUUUAGUGCCGCAGCUAACGCAUUAAGCACUCCGCCUGGGGAGUACGACCGCNGGUUG